rnacentral:rRNA from 1 species
GGGUUUCCGCCCUCUCAGUGUUGCAGCAAACGCAUUAAGCACUCCGCCUGGGGAGUACGACCGCAAGGUUGAAACUCAAAGGAAUUGACGGGGGCCCGCACAAGCGGUGGAGCAUGUGGUUUAAUUCGAAGCAACGCGAAGAACCUUACCAGGUCUUGACAUCCUUUGACCACUCUAGAGAUAGAGCUUUCCCUUCGGGGACAAAGUGACAGGUGGUGCAUGGUUGUCGUCAGCUCGUGUCGUGAGAUGUUGGGUUAAGUCCCGCAACGAGCGCAACCCUUAUUGUUAGUUGCCAUCAUUUAGUUGGGCACUCUAGCGAGACUGCCGGUGACAAACCGGAGGAAGGUGGGGAUGACGUCAAAUCAUCAUGCCCCUUAUGACCUGGGCUACACACGUGCUACAAUGGGAAGUACAACGAGUCGCUAGACCGCGAGGUCAUGCAAAUCUCUUAAAGCUUCUCUCAGUUCGGAUUGCAGGCUGCAACUCGCCUGCAUGAAGCCGGAAUCGCUAGUAAUCGCGGAUCAGCACGCCGCGGUGAAUACGUUCCCGGGCCUUGUACACACCGCCCGUCACACCACGAGAGUUGUGUGAAGUAC